UGUCACUAACCGUACUCUGCUUGCCGACAUUGGUAAAUUGUCACCUCAUGUGCAGACGUCAAGUGUUGAAAGCUACCACAAGGUGGUGUGCUUCUUUGCACCAAAGUUCUUGCACUUCUUCUACCACAGUAUGAAUGCCAGAUUGAUGCUUGCCAUUCUCCAUUUCAAUGAGAAUUCCAACAGACAGCAGGCUAAGAACAAAGCUGGAAAAGAAAUGUGGCAGCUCUCAUUUCCAAAGGCAAAAAAAGGAGAACCAGUAGCCAAACAAGUUAAAGUCCCUUGUACUUAUGCAUACAUUGAUGAGUUGUUGGAUGAAGUAAUGGCUCGUCGGGAGGCCAUACCUUCUUAUGAAGUUGCAAGGCAAGAUUUAGAAGCCCAAAUUGCUCCUGAAUACGUGAAAGACCAAUAUGACAAGGUCGAUAAACUCACAGUUG